ensembl:lncRNA
GCAUGACGGAAGAGCCGUUUUCACAUCUCACAUCAGCAGCUCCAGAUGGCCAGCAGUUCUCCCAGCACGACUCCAGCCUACCGCAGCCAUAGGGGACACCUCAGUCUACAGCCAGGUGACACUGCAUGGAACUGCAGACACUGUGACCCUACGCGCUGCAGGAACCGAGCUCGCCUCCUCUGACCACAUGCCUGCAGCAAGACCUGGGGACAGGACGCCCGCUGUGCCCUCACUGGCUCCUCAUCACCACCCUGUGCUGCUCAGCCUCCUUACUGCCUUCUGCUCCCCCCCGCGGCAAUUAGUGCCCACUCAGCUAUAUUGAAACGUUCCCACCACGACGCAUCGUGAGCAGCUUCCACUUUUAACUUCGUCCUCCAGAAAUCCCACACCUGUGACGCUUUGCCCAUUGUCACAUUGCCGCUUCGUUUUGCAUUGAGCCCUACCCAGCGCUGCAGCCACAGGAACGGCAGCAGAAUCUCCAUCUCCCCGUACUGAUAACCUCUGUAUGGCCGCACCUCGGGGCUGCCCCCAGCACCCCAAAGCCCUUUCUGCAGACCUCCAUGCUCUUUGAUCCCCCGCCAUCUCAGCUCCGAGCCCACCACAGCACGGCAGCACCACACUUGUAGAAUAUCUCAGGUUGAAAGGACCCAUUAAGCCCAACUCCUGGUUCCUCGGAACCAGCCAAGAUCCAAACCCUGUGUCUGAGAGCGUUGGCCAAACUCUCCUUGAACUCUGGCAUGCGGGGCCGUGCCCACUGCCCUGGGCAGCCUGUUCCAUGCCCUGUGGGGCAGAGCCUUUCCCUGACCCCCCCUGCCCCUCCACUGACACAGCUCCGUGCCGUUCCCUUGGGUCCCAUCAUUGUCACCGUCCCAUGGCCAAGGCCACCUCCCCGCUCUGUCCCCAUCCCCCAUCCUUACAGCAGAUCAAGGCACCCACCACCCACCCCAAAUUCCCCACCAGCCCCAUCCGUGCCCUGGUGCUCCUCCAAACCCGCUCCCAUCUUGAGGCACAGCUCAGCUCUGUCUCGGAGCACUCCCAGCUCCGGACCCCUCCAGCAUUUGUUCCUAAGCAACCCUGGGAAUUCCCAAGGCACCAUUCAUUGCCAGCACAGAGAUCCUUUGUCCAGCGCUGCCACGGAUACGUAGACCUCUGCCUGUCCCACGCCGCAGGUUUCCAAAAACCAAACCGCUGCGGCCACAGCAGACGGGCACGGGGCGAUGCGCAGGAUGCCGGAUCAGCAACGGAGCACAUGAACUCAAAUCAAUGCCCGGUGUUUUUUACUGACUGCUCCCCACCGCACGCGGAGCAGCAACAGGAGAGAGAUGGCCAUGCUCCCGCAGCACUGCCAAGAACUCGGGCAGGUGGGACGAGCUCCUCGUACACGCUCCCGUGAAUCACCCCCUGUGAUCUGUGCUCUGAUUUUCAGGUGGUGCCGCAUGGAGCGAUGAGCCCUGAGGGUCCCUUCCAGUUCGGGAUAUUCCAUGUACUGGGAUUUCAGCCUCCCCGCGGGUUUGGGGGAGGCGAUGGGGAAGUCUGGGCUCUUGGGGGGGAGCCUGGGGUCUCCUUUAUGUUUGGGAGUGGCCUUGCUAUGGGGAUCGACGCAGACAUCAGUUUCCAGGCUGGGUUUUGCUGGGUGCUAUCUGAGCAGCACAUUUUUGCUCGCAGGGACUCCUCAGGAGAGAGCAUACGUUGGCUUUGCCAUCCUGCAAAUUCAGAGGGUGUUGUUUUCCUCUCAGGACCUGGCGGUGUCUUUCUGUUUUCCUUCCUUUUGCGGGCAGCUCCGCAGUCGCUCCUCUGCUUUCUGCCGCUGUCCCGGGGGCGCGGGGGGAGAUAACUCCUCCUUAUCUGGGGCUGUUUUUCUCUGCGGGACGUCAUUAUUCGGGGUGCUUCACCGCUGCAUUUUCACGGGGUUUAUUUUUCUGUUGCUUUUUUUUUUUGUUUUUUUUUUGUUUUUGUUUUUGUUUUUUUUUUUAAAAAGAGG